UACGUAGGGUGCAAGCGUUAAUCGGAAUUACUGGGCGUAAAGCGUGCGCAGGCGGUUUUGUAAGCCAGAUGUGAAAUCCCCGGGCUUAACCUGGGAAUGGCAUUUGGGACUGCAAGGCUUGAGUGCGGCAGAGGAGACUGGAAUUCCUGGUGUAGCAGUGAAAUGCGUAGAUAUCAGGAGGAACACCAAUGGCGAAGGCAGGUCUCUGGGCUGACACUGACGCUCAUGCACGAAAGCGUGGGGAGCAAACAGG
rnacentral:rRNA from 1 species